rnacentral:rRNA from 1 species
CCCCUAGAUGUUCUGGGCCGCACGCGCGCUACACUGAACAGUUCAACAAGUCUUAACCUUGGCCGAUAGGUCUGGGUAAUCUUUGAACGCUGUUCGUGAUUGGGAUAGACCUUUGCAAUUAUGGGUCUUCAACGAGGAAUUCCUAGUAAACGCAAGUCAUCAGCUUGCAUUGAUUACGUCCCUGCCCUUUGUACACACCGCCCGUCGCACCUACCGAUUGAGUGAUCCGGUGAAUUAUUCGGACUGCAACGCGCCCAGUUCCUGGAUGCAGUUGCGGUAAGUUUUGUGAACCUUACCACUUAGAGGAAGGAGAAGUCGUAACA